AGGUCAAGCUACAAAGGGCGCAUGGUGAAUGCCUUGGCACUAGAAGUCGAAGAAGGACGUGACAAGCUGCGAUAAGCUUCGGGUAGGCGCAAAUAGCCUGUGAUCCGGAGAUUUCCGAAUGGGGCAACCCACAUGUUUAACGACAUGUACUGUAUACUGAAUUCAUAGGUAUAUGGAGACAUACCCGGGGAACUGAAACAUCUAAGUACCCGGAGGAAGAGAAAGAAAUAUCGAUUUUCUUAGUAGCGGCGAGCGAAAAGGAAUCAGCCCAAACCAGGGACUUUGUCCCUGGGGUUGUGGAUAGAUCAUCACUGCAUAAUAUCUUAACCGAAGAGUUCUGGAAAGCUCUACCGCAGAAGGUAAUAGUCCUGUAGGUUAAAAGAGAAAAUUGCAAGAUCUAAUCCAGAGUACCACGAGACACGUGAAACCUUGUGGGAAGCUGGGAGGACCACCUCCCAAGGCUAAAUACUAACUAGUGACCGAUAGUGAAGCAGUACCGUGAGGGAAAGGUGAAAAGAACCCCGGAAGGGGAGUGAAAUAGAACCUGAAACCGUGUGCCUACAACCGGUCGUAGCACUUUUUAUGUGUGACGACGUGCUUUUUGUAGAACGAGCCAGCGAGUUACGGUAUGCAGCAAGGUUAAGCACUUAUGGUGCGCAGCCGAAGGGAAACCAAGUCUUAACAGGGCGACUAGUUGCAUGCUGUAGACCCGAAACCGGGUGACCUAUCCAUGGCCAGGUUGAAGCGGAAGUAAAAUUCCGUGGAGGACCGAACCACAUUGGUGUUGAAAAACCAUGGGAUGAGCUGUGGAUAGCGGAGAAAUUCCAAUCGAACUCGGAGAUAGCUGGUUCUCCUCGAAAUAGCUUUAGGGCUAGCGUCGAUUAAUUGAGUUAUGGAGGUAGAGCACUGAAUGAGGUAGGGGCUGACAACAGUUACUGAACUCUAUCAAACUCCGAAUGCCAUAUACUUUUAUUUCGGCAGUCAGACUGCGAAUGAUAAGAUCCGUAGUCAAAAGGGAAACAGCCCAGAUCAUCAGCUAAGGUCCCAAAGUGUAAGUUAAGUGGUAAAGGAUGUGGGAUUUCUAAGACAACUAGGAUGUUGGCUCAGAAGCAGCCACUCAUUUAAAGAGUGCGUAAUAGCUCACUAGUCAAGAGAUCCUGCGCCGAAAAUGUCCGGGGCUAAAACUUACCACCGAAGCUAUGGGCUCGUAAGAGCGGUAGAGGAGCUUCCUGCACCGGUUGAAGUCGUACCGUAAGGAGCGGUGGACAGUGCAGGAGUGAGUAUGCUGGCAUAAGUAGCGAGAACUAAGUGAGAAUCUUAGUGGUCGAAAACCUAAGGUUUCCUGAGGAAGGCUCGUCCGCUCAGGGUUAGUCGGGUCCUAAGCCGAGGCCGAAAGGCGUAGGUGAUGGAUAAUCGGUUGAUAUUCCGAUACCACCUUUCUCCGUUAUGAGAGAUGGGGUGACGCAGAAGGAUAAGAUGUGCGCACUAUUGGAUGUGCGUCUAAGCACUAAGACGUGCAGGCUGGCAAAUCCGCCUGAUUAGUCAAGGUGUUAUGGGGAGCUAAUUUUUAGCGAAGUAUCUGAUUUCACACUGCCAAGAAAAGCCUCUAUCAAGGAAAAAGGUGCCCGUACCGCAAACCGACACAGGUAGGUGAGGAGAGAAUCCUAAGACCAUCGGAAGAAUCGUUGUUAAGGAACUCGGCAAAUUGACCCCGUAACUUCGGGAGAAGGGGUGCCUGCUUUUAGCAGGCCGCAGAGGAUAGGCCCAAGCAACUGUUUAGCAAAAACACAGGUCUCUGCUAAAGCGAAAGCUGAUGUAUAGGGGCUGACGCCUGCCCGGUGCUGGAAGGUUAAGGGGAUCCGUAAGAGUAAUCGAAGCGGUGAACUUAAGCCCCAGU
rnacentral:rRNA from 1 species